GACGUAGGGGGCGAGCGUUGUCCGGAUUUAUUGGGCGUAAAGAGCGUGUAGGCGGCCAGGUAGGUCUGCUGUGAAAACUCGAGGCUCAACCUCGAGACGUCGGCGGAAACCAUCUGGCUAGAGUCCGGAAGAGGAGAGUGGAAUCCUGGUGUAGCGGUGAAAUGCGCAGAUAUCAGGAAGAACACCCGUGGCGAAGGCGGCUCUCUAGUACGGUACUGACGCUGAGAGCGAAAGCGU
rnacentral:rRNA from 1 species